rnacentral:lncRNA from 8 species
GACAGACAGGGGAUUCAGAACCACAGACAGACAGGGGAUUCAGAACCACAGACAGACAGGGGAUUCAGAACCACAGACAGACAGGGGAUUCAGAACCACAGACAUGUUAACAGACAGACAGACGGGAUUCAGAUCCACAGACAUGUUAACAGACAGACAGACGGGAUUAAGAACCACAUAUGUGGAAUCCAGUGUCUGAUUCAAUACAAUGUGAACUCUCUCUCUCUCUCUCUCUCUCUCUCUCUCUCUCUCUCUCUCUCUCUCUAAAGUACCCUCUGAAUAUAGUGUUUUAGCAACCCAGAUAUUGUCCUGUUUCAACAAUGCAUGCCAUCCUCAGAAAUGUAGCGUCAAUAGUUAAACCCUGUCUCCCUCCAAUCAGACGAAGGUAUUGGGAGGAUUGGCUCUGAUUGGUUGUUAAACCCUGUCUCCCUCCAAUCAGACGAAGGUAUUGGGAGGGAUGGCUCUGAUUGGUAGU